UCAAACUUGGUCAUUUAGAGGAAGUAAAAGUCGUAACAAGGUCUCCGUUGGUGAACCAGCGGAGGGAUCAUUACGAAAAGAGUAGAGAUACUCGCAAACCCCAUGUGAACCUUACCUGUCGUUACACGUUGCCCCGGCGGGCAGCCCCUCUCGGGAGGGGCGAACGGGCCCCGGCCCGCCCGCCGGGGGGACGAAAACCAAACUCUUGUUGCGAACGCAGUGGCACAUCCGAGUCAAACAAAAAAACAAGUUAAAACUUUCAACAACGGAUCUCUUGGUUCUGGCAUCGAUGAAGAACGCAGC
rnacentral:misc_RNA from 1 species